GGUCUGGUGGUGUAGUUGGUUAUCACGUCAGUCUAACAGCUCGAGAGCCUCGCCUCUCUCGUCCGGUUCAUUGAAGGUCUCCGGUUCAAGUCCGGGCUAGAUCA